GUCUGAAGCCUAGAGAUAGGGCUUCUCCUUCGGGAGCAGAGUGACAGGUGGUGCAUGGUUGUCGUCAGCUCGUGUCGUGAGAUGUUGGGUUAAGUCCCGCAACGAGCGCAACCCUUGAUCUUAGUUGCCAUCAUUAAGUUGGGCACUCUAAGGUGACUGCCGGUGACAAACCGGAGGAAGGUGGGGAUGACGUCAAAUCAUCAUGCCCCUUAUGACCUGGGCUACACACGUGCUACAAUGGACGGUACAAAGAGCUGCAAGACCGCGAGGUGGAGCUAAUCUCAUAAAACCGUUCUCAGUUCGGAUUGUAGGCUGCAACUCGCCUACAUGAAGCUGGAAUCGCUAGUAAUCGCGGAUCAGCAUGCCGCGGUGAAUACGUUCCCGGGCCUUGUACACACCGCCCGUCACACCACGAGAGUUUGUAACACCCGAAGUCGGUGGGGUAACCUUUUUGGAGCCAGCCGCCUAAGGUGGGACAGAUGAUUGGGGUGAAGUCGUAACAGGGUUAGCCAUA
rnacentral:rRNA from 1 species